rnacentral:rRNA from 1 species
GACGAACGCUGGCGGCGUGCUUAACACAUGCAAGUCGAACGGAAAGGCCCUGCUUUUGUGGGGUGCUCGAGUGGCGAACGGGUGAGUAACACGUGAGUAACCUGCCCUUGACUUUGGGAUAACUUCAGGAAACUGGGGCUAAUACCGGAUAGGAGCUCCUGCUGCAUGGUGGGGGUUGGAAAGUUUCGGCGGUUGGGGACGGACUCGCGGCUUAUCAGCUUGUUGGUGGGGUAGUGGCUUACCAAGGCUUUGACGGGUAGCCGGCCUGAGAGGGUGACCGGCCACAUUGGGACUGAGAUACGGCCCAGACUCCUACGGGAGGCAGCAGUGGGGAAUAUUGCACAAUGGGCGGAAGCCUGAUGCAGCAACGCCGCGUGCGGGAUGACGGCCUUCGGGUUGUAACCCGCUUUCGCCUGUGACGAAGCGUGAGUGACGGUAAUGGGUAAAGAAGCACCGGCUAACUACGUG